CCAAUCCUGUGAGCAGGCACGUGGAGAGGAGGAACGAGACGUUAUGACAGCAAGCAACUGAAGUUACGGACACGAAACAUAACCAGACGGAGGAGUGGCGAAGAUACUGGAGGCAAUGCACCAGGCCGUCUCUCCAUCUGGAGUGGGAGCUUCCUGGAGGAUCCUUCGGGCCAGUCGGAGGGCAGCACCAGCCAGCUGAGAGGGCAGAAACACCACACACUGCUCCUCCAGGAGCGACAGCUCCAACAGCCAGAAAGAGGCAAACCACACCCAGCAACUGCAGGCAGGAGAUGGACACUUUGAUGAGCCUUAGCGCUCGAUUCAGAAGGUGUACCGCCAGAUACAACGUUUCCUCUGAGAACUGAAACACUUCCUGAGGUCUGGUCAUAAAGGAGUCCCAGCUUGCUGAUGGCUACCUCCACCUGUCUGCGCAGAAGUCCAGGCAUCAGUUCCCGCAGACUUGGU